UUAACCGAAUAGGGGAGCCGGAGGGAAACCGAGUCUUAAUUGGGCGUUAAGUUGCAGGGUAUAGACCCGAAACCCGGUGAUCUAGCCAUGGGCAGGUUGAAGGUUGGGUAACACUAACUGGAGGACCGAACCGACUAAUGUUGAAAAAUUAGCGGAUGACCUGUGGCUGGGGGUGAAAGGCCAAUCAAACCGGGAGAUAGCUGGUUCUCCCCGAAAGCUAUUUAGGUAGCGCCUCGUGAAUUCAUCUCCGGGGGUAGAGCACUGUUUCGGCUAGGGGGCCAUCCCGGCUUACCAACCCGAUGCAAACUGCGAAUACCGGAGAAUGUUAUCACGGGAGACACACGGCGGGUGCUAACGUCCGUCGUGAAGAGGGAAACAACCCAGACCGCCAGCUAAGGUCCCAAAGUCAUGGUUAAGUGGGAAACGAUGUGGGAAGGCCCAGACAGCCAGGAUGUUGGCUUAGAAGCAGCCAUCAUUUAAAGAAAGCGUAAUAGCUCACUGGUCGAGUCGGCCUGCGCGGAAGAUGUAACGGGGCUAAACCAUGCACCGAAGCUGCGGCAGCGACACUGUGUGUUGUUGGGUAGGGGAGCGUUCUGUAAGCCUGCGAAGGUGGCCUGUGAGGGUUGCUGGAGGUAUCAGAAGUGCGAAUGCUGACAUAAGUAACGAUAAAGCGGGUGAAAAGCCCGCUCGCCGGAAGACCAAGGGUUCCUGUCCAACGUUAAUCGGGGCAGGGUGAGUCGACCCCUAAGGCGAGGCCGAAAGGCGUAGUCGAUGGGAAACGGGUUAAUAUUCCCGUACUUGGUGUUACUGCGAAGGGGGGACGGAGAAGGCUAUGUUGGCCGGGCGACGGUUGUCCCGGUUUAAGCGUGUAGGUGUGUGUUCCAGGUAAAUCCGGUUCACUUUAACACUGAGGCGUGACGACGAGGCACUACGGUGCUGAAGCAACAAAUGCCCUGCUUCCAGGAAAAGCCUCUAAGCAUCAGGUAACAUCAAAUCGUACCCCAAACCGACACAGGUGGUCAGGUAGAGAAUACCAAGGCGCUUGAGAGAACUCGGGUGAAGGAACUAGGCAAAAUGGUGCCGUAACUUCGGGAGAAGGCACGCUGACACGUAGGUGAAGUGAUUUACUCAUGGAGCUGAAGUCAGUCGAAGAUACCAGCUGGCUGCAACUGUUUAUUAAAAACACAGCACUGUGCAAACACGAAAGUGGACGUAUACGGUGUGACGCCUGCCCGGUGCCGGAAGGUUAAUUGAUGGGGUCAGCGCAAGCGAAGCUCCUGAUCGAAGCCCCGGUAAACGGCGGCCGUAACUAUAACGGUCCUAAGGUAGCGAAAUUCCUUGUCGGGUAAGUUCCGACCUGCACGAAUGGCGUAAUGAUGGCCAGGCUGUCUCCACCCGAGACUCAGUGAAAUUGAACUCGCUGUGAAGAUGCAGUGUACCCGCGGCAAGACGGAAAGACCCCGUGAACCUUUACUAUAGCUUGACACUGAACAUUGAGCCUUGAUGUGUAGGAUAGGUGGGAGGCUUUGAAGUGUGGACGCCAGUCUGCAUGGAGCCGACCUUGAAAUACCACCCUUUAAUGUUUGAUGUUCUAACGUGGACCCGUUACCCGGGUUGCGGACAGUGUCUGGUGGGUAGUUUGACUGGGGCGGUCUCCUCCUAAAGAGUAACGGAGGAGCACGAAGGUUGGCUAAUCCUGGUCGGACAUCAGGAGGUUAGUGCAAUGGCAUAAGCCAGCUUGACUGCGAGCGUGACGGCGCGAGCAGGUGCGAAAGCAGGUCAUAGUGAUCCGGUGGUUCUGAAUGGAAGGGCCAUCGCUCAACGGAUAAAAGGUACUCCGGGGAUAACAGGCUGAUACCGCCCAAGAGUUCAUAUCGACGGCGGUGUUUGGCACCUCGAUGUCGGCUCAUCACAUCCUGGGGCUGAAGUAGGUCCCAAGGGUAUGGCUGUUCGCCAUUUAAAGUGGUACGCGAGCUGGGUUUAGAACGUCGUGAGACAGUUCGGUCCCUAUCUGCCGUGGGCGCUGGAGAACUGAGGGGGGCUGCUCCUAGUACGAGAGGACCGGAGUGGACGCAUCACUGGUGUUCGGGUUGUCAUGCCAAUGGCACUGCCCGGUAGCUAAAUGCGGAAGAGAUAAGUGCUGAAAGCAUCUAAGCACGAAACUUGCCCCGAG
rnacentral:rRNA from 1 species